GCCCAGACUCCUACGGGAGGCAGCAGUGGGGAAUAUUGCACAAUGGGGGAAACCCUGAUGCAGCGACGCCGCGUGAGCGAUGAAGUAUUUCGGUAUGUAAAGCUCUAUCAGCAGGGAAGAAGAUGACGGUACCUGACUAAGAAGCCCCGGCUAACUACGUGCCAGCAGCCGCGGUAAUACGUAGGGGGCAAGCGUUAUCCGGAUUUACUGGGUGUAAAGGGAGCGUAGACGGCGAUGCAAGCCAGAUGUGAAAGCCCGGGGCUCAACCCCGGGACUGCAUUUGGAACUGUGUGGCUGGAGUGUCGGAGAGGCAGGCGGAAUUCCUAGUGUAGCGGUGAAAUGCGUAGAUAUUAGGAGGAACACCAGUGGCGAAGGCGGCCUGCUGGACGAUGACUGACGUUGAGGCUCGAAAGCGUGGGGAGCAAACAGGAUUAGAUACCCCGGUAUG
rnacentral:rRNA from 1 species